GCGGUCCAGCCGCCGCCAGCGCCUCUCAGCUCUGGCCUGAAGCACUACUCCCGCCGCCUGGAGCGGCCGCCCGAUCCCAGCGCGGAGCUGCGAGCCUGACCGGCCGCGUCUGGCAUGGUCAGAGAAAGAAUUUUCUUUUCCCAACUCCGGCUUUUGGUUUUGUGUGUCCACCUUGCGCAACUCCGGAGCCAGUCGACCCCACAUGGAUUCUCAACAGGUGGCCGGCACAUCUUCUGAACCUCGCUCUCUCAUCUGAAAGUGGAGUGUAAGUCCGAGAAGAUUCAUUUAGACAAAGAAGGUGGAAAAAAAGGACUUUCUGGGCCAGCAAGUCGGAUGACCACCCUCCAAGGGAAGGGGCAGAGGAGGGCCCAUUUUGUGAAGAAGAAAUGAACUACCCGGAAAACGCCGCAGGAGGACAUGUAUUCUGCAGAUGUAGUUGCCCUAGAAACAGAAGAGUAUGGGGGUGUGAAUGUCUUCUUUUGGGGGCAAACACUAUGUCCUUUUCUUUUUCUAGAUACAGUUAAUUCCUGGAAAUUUUAGCGAGUUUGUUCUUGUGGAUGUUUUGAACAAUAAAGAGUGAAAAUC
rnacentral:lncRNA from 1 species